UCCCUGGUGGCUCAGAGGUAAAAGUAUCUGCCUGCAAUGCAGGAGACCUGGGUUCGAUCCCCGGGUUGGGAA